rnacentral:rRNA from 1 species
GUAGGGAAUAUUGCGCAAUGGACGAAAGCCUGAUCCAGCCAUGCCGCGUGUGUGAAGAAGGUCUUCGGAUUGUAAAGCACUUUAAGUUGGGAGGAAGGGCAGUAAGUUAAUACCUUGCUGUUUUGACGUUACCGACAGAAUAAGCACCGGCUAACUUCGUGCCAGCAGCCGCGGUAAUACGAAGGGUGCAAGCGUUAAUCGGAAUUACUGGGCGUAAAGCGCGCGUAGGUGGUUCAGCAAGUUGAAGGUGAAAUCCCCGGGCUCAACCUGGGAACUGCCUCCAAAACUACUGAGCUAGAGUACGGUAGAGGGUAGUGGAAUUUCCUGUGUAGCGGUGAAAUGCGUAGAUAUAGGAAGGAACACCAGUGGCGAAGGCGACUACCUGGACUGAUACUGACACUGAGGUGCGAAAGCGUGGGGAGCAAACAGGAUUAGAUACCCUAGUAGUCC